rnacentral:rRNA from 1 species
GACAGAGGAUGCAAGCGUUAUCCGGAAUGAUUGGGCGUAAAGCGUCUGUAGGUGGUUUGACAAGUCUUUUGUCAAAGAUCAGGGCUUAACCCUGGGCCGGCAAGAGAAACUAUCAGACUAGAGUUCGGUAGGGGCAGAGGGAAUUCCCAGUGGAGCGGUGAAAUGUGUUGAUAUCAGGAGGAACACCCAUGGCGAAGGCAGCAAACUGGGCAUCAACUGACGCUGAGGCGCGAAAGCGUGGGUAGCAAACAGG